rnacentral:rRNA from 1 species
ACUCCUACGGGAGGCAGCAGUGGGGAAUAUUAGACAAUGGGGGCAACCCUGAUCCAGCCAUGCCGCGUGAGUGAUGAAGGCCUUAGGGUUGUAAAGCUCUUUCAGCGAGGAGGAUAAUGACGUUACUCGCAGAAGAAGCCCCGGCUAACUUCGUGCCAGCAGCCGCGGUAAUACGAAGGGGCUAGCGUUGUUCGGAAUCACUGGGCGUAAAGCGCACGUAGGCGGAUUGAUAAGUUAGGGUGAAAUCCCGGGGCUCAACCUCGGAACUGCCUUUGAUACUGUCAGUCUUGAGUCCGAGAGAGGUGAGUGGAACUCCGAGUGUAGAGGUGAAAUUCGUAGAUAUUCGGAAGAACACCAGUGGCGAAGGCGGCUCACUGGCUCGGUACUGACGCUGAGGUGCGAAAGCGU